CCCAGACUCCUACGGGAGGCAGCAGUGGGGGAUAUUGCACAAUGGGGGGAACCCUGAUGCAGCGACGCCGCGUGGGUGAAGAAGUAUUUCGGUAUGUAAAGCCCUAUCGGCAGGGAAGAAAUUGGACGGUACCUGACUAAGAAGCCCCGGCUAACUACGUGCCAGCAGCCGCGGUAAUACGUAGGGGGCAAGCGUUAUCCGGAUUCACUGGGUGUAAAGGGAGCGUAGACGGCCAUGCAAGCCUGGAGUGAAAGCCCGGGGCCCAACCCCGGGACUGCUCUGGGAACUGUGCGGCUGGAGUGCGGGAGGGGCAGGCGGAAUUCCUGGUGUAGCGGUGAAAUGCGUAGAUAUCAGGAGGAACACCGGCGGCGAAGGCGGCCUGCUGGACAGCAACUGACGGUGAGGCGCGAAAGCGUGGGGAGCAAACAGGAUUAGAUACCCCAGUAA
rnacentral:rRNA from 1 species